UACGUAGGGUCCAAGCGUUGUCCGGAUUUAUUGGGCGUAAAGAGCUCGUAGGCGGCUCAGUAAGUCGGAUGUGAAAACUCAGGGCUCAACCCUGAGACGCCAUCCGAUACUGCUGUGGCUUGAGUCUGGUAGGGGAGAACGGAAUUCCAGGUGUAGCGGUGAAAUGCGCAGAUAUCUGGAGGAACACCGAUGGCGAAGGCAGUUCUCUGGGCCAGUACUGACGCUGAGGAGCGAAAGCGUGGGGAGCAAACAGG
rnacentral:rRNA from 1 species